AUUUAAAUAGUUUAAUUAAAGCAUUGACUUGUGGAGUCGAAGAUAUAUAUUGUAUUUUAAAUA
rnacentral:tRNA from 1 species